AAGAACGAACGCUGGCGGCGCGUUUUAAGCAUGCAAGUCGAGCGGCAAGGGCCUUCGGGCCCCUAGAGCGGCAGACGGGUGAGUAACACGUGGACAAUCUGCCCCCCGGCCCGGGAUAGCCCAGGGAAACCUGGAUUAAUACCGGAUGAGACGGGACCCGCGAUGGCGGGAUCCGGGAAAGGCGCUGCGGCGCCGCCGGGGGAUGAGUCUGCGUCCCAUUAGCUAGACGGCGGGGUAACGGCCCACCGUGGCGACGAUGGGUAGCCGGCCUGAGAGGGUGGACGGCCACAUUGGAACUGAGACACGGUCCAGACUCCUACGGGAGGCAGCAGCUAAGAAUCUUCCGCAAUGGGCGAAAGCCUGACGGAAGCGACGCCGCGUGAACGAAGAAGGCCGUGAGGUUGUAAAGUUCUUUUCGGGAGGGGAACAACCGUGGCAGGGAAUGGCCGCGGGAUGACGUGAAUCCCGGAAUAAGCCCCGGCUAACUACGUGCCAGCCGCCGC
rnacentral:rRNA from 1 species